rnacentral:rRNA from 1 species
UACGGAGGGUGCGAGCGUUAAUCGGAAUUACUGGGCGUAAAGCGCGCGUAGGCGGUUUGUUAAGUCGGAUGUGAAAGCCCCGGGCUCAACCUGGGAAUUGCACCCGAUACUGGCCGACUGGAGUGCGAGAGAGGGAGGUAGAAUUCCACGUGUAGCGGUGAAAUGCGUAGAUAUGUGGAGGAAUACCGGUGGCGAAGGCG